GAAAUGCGAUACGUAGUGUGAAUUGCAGAAUUCCGUGAACCAUCGAAUCUUUGAACGCAUAUUGCGCUCGCGGCUUCGGCCAAGAGCAUGUCUGCCUCAGCGUCGGCUUACCCCCUCACCCCCUCUCCCUGUUUAAUCGCAGAGCGAGCUCGGGUGGAUCUGGCAGUCUCAGCUACCUGCUUGCAGGCGGCUGGGUCUGCUGAAAAGUAGAGGCUUGAGCAAGGACCCGCUACGGGCAACAACUGGGUGAGCAGCUCGUCUGCAACUAGUUGGUGCCUGGGACCUUGCUGGGAGCCAGCAGGAAUGCGGCCUCGGCCGCAUAACUCAACUUUCGACCUGAGCUCAGGCAAGAUUACCCGCUGAACUUAA
rnacentral:misc_RNA from 1 species